CCUACGGGUGGCAGCAGUGGGGAAUAUUGGGCAAUGGGCGCAAGCCUGACCCAGCAACGCCGCGUGAAGGAAGAAGGCUUUCGGGUUGUAAACUUCUUUUCUCAGGGACGAAGCAAGUGACGGUACCUGAGGAAUAAGCCACGGCUAACUACGUGCCAGCAGCCGCGGUAAUACGUAGGUGGCAAGCGUUAUCCGGAUUUACUGGGUGUAAAGGGCGUGUAGGCGGGGACGCAAGUCAGAUGUGAAAACCACGGGCUCAACCUGUGGCCUGCAUUUGAAACUGGCAGACUUGAGUUGGCGAGAAGUACGCGGAAUGCGCGGUGUAGCGGUGAAAUGCAUAGAUAUCGCGCAGAACUCCGAUUGCGAAGGCAGCGUACCGGCGCCAGACUGACGCUGAGGCACGAAAGCGUGGGGAUCGAACAGGAUUAGAUACCCCUGUAGUC
rnacentral:rRNA from 1 species